rnacentral:rRNA from 1 species
UAGGCGGCACGCCAAGUCAGCGGUGAAAUUUCCGGGCUCAACCCGGAAUGUGCCGUUGGAACUGGCGAGCUAGAGUGCACAAGAGGCAGGCGGAGUGCGUGGUGUAGCGGUGAAAUGCAUAGAUAUCACGCAGAACCCCGAUUGCGAAGGCAGCCUGCUAGGGUGCGACAGACGCUGAGGCACGAAAGCGUGGGUAUCGAACAGGAUUAGAUACCCUGGUAGUCCACGCAGUAAACGAUGAAUACUAACUGUUUGCGAUACAAUGUAAGCGGUACAGCGAAAGCGUUAAGUAUUCCACCUGGGGAGU